GAUCAUGGCUCAGGACGAACGCUGGCGGCGCGCCUAACACAUGCAAGUCGAACGGAGUUAUUUUUGACAGAAGCCUUCGGGCGGACGUUGAUAUAACUUAGUGGCGAACGGGUGAGUAACACGUGAGCAACCUGCCCUUCAGAGGGGGACAACAGUUGGAAACGACUGCUAAUACCGCAUAAGACCACGGUGUGGCAUCACACAGAGGUCAAAGGAGAAAUCCGCUGAAGGAUGGGCUCGCGU
rnacentral:rRNA from 1 species